ACCAAGGAGCAGACCUUGGAAUCACAGACUGUUACGACACAGACCAGAGGUGAGCACACAAUACCAGGGACACACAGUUAAACACAGAUCUGCAAAGAUGAACUGCAGACAUUUUACAGAAUUUUCUUCCACAACGCCAUCCUAUGGAAUUGGGUACCAAAAGCAUGCUUAAGAUAAAGAAAAAAGUGAAAAAACACACCAACCUGAUUUGACUGCCCAGAAAGGUAAGGUUCAAAAUCGUUGUCGUGAACUGUAUCCUUUUGAUGUAACGAACCAUUUUGUACUACAAAA